CCACAGCCUGAAGAACCCUCCUCUUAUCUGCUCUUUCAAACUGCUCACUCUGUGGAUUCUCCACGGAAAAUACAAGGUCUUCUAGUAGAAUGGGCCUUGCUUUUUCAGAUAUAGUUAUGAGGAAAGAAACAACUUUGAACCUGUGCCAGGGAGGAGGAAGCCAGGAAGAAAAUGAAGCCUAAAACCAACUCAGGCACCAAACCCAGCAUUUGUCUUUGACCUCUAGGAAUCAGUCCCGUCAGGAAGCCAUGAAAUGGGACAGAAUGCGGAAGCACCAUGAACCCAAAAGUGAGUUUCAAGAUCCACCUGGAGUUUUAAAGCCUUGGUGUUGCUGCCCACAGGAGGAGCCCACAGGAGAUGGGCAGAGGAAAACCAGCCCAGGGAAUCCUUCUGCAAAUAACCCAACAGAUCACACUGGCAGUUGCUCCUGGAUACUUCCUUAUUCCUGAUAUCUGCAAACUCUGGGUCUAGAGUACCUUUAUUGCUGCCCCCACUUUUAGGAACAGUGUAGUCCAUAAAUGUACUGGGCUCUUCUUUCUUCUGGGACUUCCUAUUGUUUCAUAUGCCUUAUUUUUGGCAUAUGAAACAACACAUAUAUAUAUAUAUCUAUAUAUAAAAUAUAUGUAUUAUAUAUAAUAUAUAAUAUAUAUAACCCACACAUAUACAUAUAUAUGCCAGAAAUAAAGCAUGUAUACUUGUUUUGUAUGCCAAAUUUUGCCUUAUAUAUGUAUAUAUGUAUACGACUGUUUUAUCUGCCACUGUGAACCAGCAACCCUGUAAAAGCCCUGUGCUAAUCUUUUCCUCAAUAAUUAAGGAGUGUUGUGUGUACUUGUGUUUAAUCUACAAUUUGUGAUAGCUAAACUCUUCCUGCCACUUAAGAUCAUGAGAUUGGUUCAAACCCUAGAUUCAUGUCUUGUGAAAAAUUUAAGGGCAUCUCCAAGAUUUCUAGGAAUACUCAGUAUAGUCAUUGCCAUAGCCAUUUUUAUUUUCAAACUCUUGCUUCUACUAAGUUAAUACAAAUAAUAUAUUAGCACUGUUCCAAACAUUGUUUACUCAGAUGCCGACUGCAGAGGCUUCCUUAUUGUCAACACACACACACACACACACACACACACACACACACACACACCUUAUUCACACAAGGCCUUUGCUGGCAUUGCUGACUUUACUGAUGCUCUGGACAGACGGUCUAGGUUGAUAUUGCUAGAAAUUUGAAACUGAAUUUUGAACACUGUCCCGUGGCAUUUUCUGCCGACAAUGGAUCAAGUCUUGCACCAUGUUUAUAAUUGUCUUCUCUCUUGCUCCUCUUUCAGUUUCCCUCAGUUUUUCUUCUUUGUUUUUUCCCACAUCAUCCUACUCAUUUCUAUUCAGUCCCGGUACAUUUUACAUUUCCUGGUUUUUCGCUAAU